rnacentral:pre_miRNA from 1 species
CUACUUUGCCCCAUUGGGCCUUGUGGUAUAAUUCCAAGGCCCAGCUCGGCAGAGUACAU